CCCUUCGGAGUAUCGAGUGGCGAACGGGUGAGUAACACGUGGGUGAUCUGCCCUGCACUUUGGGAUAAGCCUGGGAAACUGGGUCUAAUACCGAAUAGGACCACGNNNNNNNNNGNNNNUGGUGGAAAGCUUUUGCGGUGUGGGAUGGGCCCGCGGCCUAUCAGCUUGUUGGUGGGGUAAUGGCCUACCAAGGCGACGACGGGUAGCCGGCCUGAGAGGGUGACCGGCCACACUGGGACUGAGAUACGGCCCAGACUCCUACGGGAGGCAGCAGUGGGGAAUAUUGCACAAUGGGCGCAAGCCUGAUGCAGCGACGCCGCGUGAGGGAUGACGGCCUUCGGGUUGUAAACCUCUUUCAAUAGGGACGAAGCGCAAGUGACGGUACCUAUAGAAGAAGCACCGGCCAACUACGUGCCAGCAGCCGCGGUAAUACGUAGGGUGCGAGCGUUGUCCGGAAUUACUGGGCGUAAAGAGCUCGUAGGUGGUUUGUCGCGUUGUUCGUGAAAACUCACAGCUUAACUGUGGGCGUGCGGGCGAUACGGGCAGACUAGAGUACUGCAGGGGAGACUGGAAUUCCUGGUGUAGCGGUGGAAUGCGCAGAUAUCAGGAGGAACACCGGUGGCGAAGGCGGGUCUCUGGGCAGUAACUGACGCUGAGGAGCGAAAGCGUGGGGAGCGAACAGGAUUAGAUACCCUGGUAGUCCACGCCGUAAACGGUGGGUACUAGGUGUGGGUUCCUUCCUUGGGAUCCGUGCCGUAGCUAACGCAUUAAGUACCCCGCCUGGNGAGUACGGCCGCAAGGCUAAAACUCAAAGGAAUUGACGGGGGCCCGCACAAGCGGCGGAGCAUGUGGAUUAA
rnacentral:rRNA from 1 species